rnacentral:rRNA from 1 species
AGAGUUUGAUCCUGGCUCAGAUUGAACGCUGGCGGCAUGCCUUACACAUGCAAGUCGAACGGCAGCGCGGGGCAACCUGGCGGCGAGUGGCGAACGGGUGAGUAAUAUAUCGGAACGUACCCUGGAGUGGGGGAUAACGUAGCGAAAGUUACGCUAAUACCGCAUACGAUCUAAGGAUGAAAGUGGGGGAUCGCAAGACCUCAUGCUCCUGGAGCGGCCGAUAUCUGAUUAGCUAGUUGGUAGGGUAAAAGCCUACCAAGGCAUCGAUCAGUAGCUGGUCUGAGAGGACGACCAGCCACACUGGAACUGAGACACGGUCCAGACUCCUACGGGAGGCAGCAGUGGGGAAUUUUGGACAAUGGGCGCAAGCCUGAUCCAGCCAUGCCGCGUGAGUGAAGAAGGCCUUCGGGUUGUAAAGCUCUUUCGGCAGGAACGAAAUGGUUCGUGCUAACACCACGGACUGAUGACGGUACCUGAAGAAGAAGCACCGGCUAACUACGUGCCAGCAGCCGCGGUAAUACGUAGGGUGCAGGCGUUAAUCGGAAUUACUGGGCGUAAAGCGUGCGCAGGCGGUUUCUUAGGUCAGAUGUGAAAUCCCCGGGCUUAACCUGGGAACUGCGUUUGAAACUGGGAGACUUGAGUGUGGCAGAGGGGGGUGGAAUUCCACGUGUAGCAGUGAAAUGCGUAGAUAUGUGGAGGAACACCAAUGGCGAAGGCAGCC